UCAGACAUAGUGUACGGUUACACCGCCUCGGUCCUUCUGAAACGAAAAGACAAUACUAGUCAGAGGCAGUCCGGGGUUCGACUCCCUGUGUCUGAA